CGUACGUCGCGGAGAUGUCUGCGCGAUGUCUUCUUUUUCGUCUGGAAGACGUAUUAUAUAGGGCGUUUGCUCAUCUGGAAGGCGUCGCCGAGACGUCCGACCCAGCUGUUUGCAAGACACCCAGCAGAUCUUUACAAGAUGUAUGUUAUUUAGAACGAUGGCGAGCCGCCGUUUCCCAGAUCUUUACAAGAUGUUAGAACAGCAAGCCGCUCUUUCACAGAUCUUUAGAAGAGCUUUAAAAGAUGCCGAGCCGCUCUUUCCCAGAUCUUUAGAAGAGCUUAAAAAGACGUUUUCAUGCCAUGAUCACUGGGGCGGAAACCAUUAUGACGUUGCCUUGGACAUCAAACUAAACCAUCUCAUUCUGGCUUUUUUCUAACAUCGAAAUCUCAGAAGGCCAGGACUAAGAUGGACGCAGCCUCCACAUGCAACCUUGCAUUUGAGGAACACCCAUAGAACGGUCAACUUACCCCAUACUCUAACCUGAAUGCAGGGAUUAUAAAACUUUAUCUUUUACCUUAAUUGUUAGAUGGGUGUUGAUACCAAACUUUUUUGUCUCGUCUACCCAGGAGAAAGUCAUGGGUUCUGCUGCUGAGGUUGUCAUAAAGCAUGCUUUUUCCAUUUGUUGCAUUGGGCAAUAUUAUCAAAAGAUUCUGAAAGAAAUAAGAUAAUUUUCAAAGCAUUAACAUGAAUAUGAAAGCAUUAAGUCAUUAAUGACCAUCUUUUAUUAUUGUUUAUUUAUAGUGUCUUUUAUUCUGCUUACCUGACUCAUGCAGAAUUCUGGCUUGAUGUUUGGUCCACCUGUUAGCUGGCUCUGGUGCUUGGUAGUCUUCUCAAACCUCUGAAUCAAGGCCACCAUGAGAGGCCUUCUGAAGACCAUCAUUACGCUUCAGAUCCAGUUGUCUUAACUAUGAGCCUACCACAAUCCCUGUGCACCAGCUAUGGAAAGUGCAGACCAAACUUCUACCUCCACCUAUAGAACUGAACUGGAGUCUGUGAACUAAUGCUGUGUUCGAGACAACUGGAACAGCAAACAAAGUUGAGUAUCCGACCUCUCAACUUGUGACUGAUCGAUCAGCACCAACCUCAACGAGAUGCAUCAUUUGACAUUGCAGACAAGAUCCUUUCUCUUUUUAAUGCAGCACUUAAGGAUGAACCACCCUGAUCUACUAAGAUGCACAGAUUCAACUCUGGCCCAGCAUCAUCCCCACACCUCAUCUGCCAUCAGUUUAAUUUAAUGUCUGUCAAUUGCAAAUGCUAUUUAUUUCAGUUAUAUUACAACUUAAUGUUAACUUUAAUUGAGACUAGUAUUGUGUAAAGCUGGGGUUUCCAAACUUUUCAUUUCAAAACCUAUUAGACAAGUGUAAUCUAUUCUAGACCCACUAAAAUAUUUUUACAUAUACAUUUUUUAAUGGGGUAAAACACAUUUGUUCUCUUUCAGUGGAGUCAUUUUAUUUUCAUAAUAUUUCAUAAUGUAAAGCAGUGGUUCUUAACGUUAUUCCUGGAGGCCCACUGCUCUGCACAUUUUGUAUGUCUCUUUUAUCUGACAGACUCAGUUCAGUUCAUUGAGAUCUCUUCUAAUGAGCUGAUGAUUUGAGUCAG